GCCUUGGGAACCGAGAGAAGACAGCUCUGGUGGUGUGAGGGAAGGAAGAAAGGCCUAAUGUGAAGCCUGAGGCAUGUAGCCGGGUGCAGGCGGUGACACACUAUAGACAAAGGGAACAGUCUGUGUGAGGUCAUAUAAAUCGCCACAGGCUGGAGCACAUAGGGUAGCAUGAGGAAGGCUCAGAAACUAUUUUAAGCAGUUGGGCUCACUGUCGACUGUGGUGGGGGAGUGUGGCAUCGUGGCCAAGAUGCAGCCCCUGGAGCUACACUGCUGCUGGCCUUCAGUCCUGGCCCUGUGUCGGGUGCUGUGGGUCUUUGGCUGGUAACUCACCCUCUCUCCCUGUCAGCUGGGCAUAAUAAUAACCCCACCUUUGGGGCCAUUGUGAGGGGUAAAUGAGUGAAACAGAGAUGAGCUCUUUAGAAGAGUGCCUGGCACACUGUAGGCAUGGCAUUAGUGUUCACUGUCACUAUUACUGGCAACAGGCGAAUGCUGAAAAGGUUGAUGCCAAAGGCGGACAUACCAGAACUUAGGUUGGGAAAGCUUCGCUAAGGCUGUGUACGGAGAAUGAGGAGCAAGGAAAAUAACAGCCUUCUGAAAAGGGCUUUGCCAAGAAUGUGAGCCCAUUUUGGAAUUAAGAGUGAUGAUCACUCUUAUUUUCAGAAACUUUUACUACAUAGCUGAAAGUGAGUUAGUUCAGCAUGGAAGAGUACAAAGAGUUUUUGCUUAGUGAAUAGUGCUUUUCAAACUGUGACUCACUAAUGGGUCAGAGACCAAUUUGGUGGGUCAAAAACAGCUUUUAAAAUGAUAAUAGAAAACAGAUCAUAGCAUUUAAAAAGUCAUGAGUUGUG
rnacentral:lncRNA from 1 species